CGACAGUUGAUAAAAAACCGGAACCGUCGUGAUGCCAAAAUAAAAGUACCGCACUAUAAAAAACGAUACAACUUCUUCUUCUUCUUUUCAGAACCCCUUCUUCUUUCCCAACUAGAAAGCCCGUAACAACAACCACAACACAACUGCAAAAAUCCUAACGCCACCGCCGCUUUGGUAUCUCUAUUGCACUACAAAAAUGCUAACGCCGCCUCCGCCGCUUUGGUAUCUCUAUUGGAAUGCCCUACAAAAACCCCACACCACCAAUCCCAAAUCAAUAUAUACAGACACUACAAGAAUUUUAUUGACGCUACCGAAUCCAUAAACGACGUGCUUCCGACAUCGAACACAACUCUUUCGUCCAUGGAACCAAUUGAUGUUUUGGAUUCGUUGACUGAUGUUAUUCAGUUGUCGAAGGAUUUCCUUCCUUAAACUUGGAAAACCCUUGACUUAAUAGUUCUUGUUAUCUCAAACCUGAGAAUUGGAAAACCUUUGACUGAUUUAAUUCAGGUGUUGAGGGAUUUUCAUUUCAAUUUUCCACUCACUGCGUUUCCAGUUUCGAUUUCAAUUUACUGCUCACUACAUUUACAGGUUUCGGUUUUGAUUUGGUAUUAGACUAAAAUUUUGAAAAAAUUGUUGAUUUACAAAGUACAAAUCGUCUUCCAAGGCUUGUUGGGACGUCUAAAGCAGUUGAAAGGAUACUGGUAAGAUGCAAACCAUUUAUUUCCAUUCGAUUAUCAAACAUGCGAAUUUCUUUUGUGCUUUGUGGUGCAAUAAACAUAUUUUAAAUUUUCUUUUCUCACAGACAUCUAUACCAAUCAUGUUAGAAUAAGGGCAUAAACUAGGACUUAUUGACACUAUUGUAUCUUCUGAGGAGUUAGUCAAGGUAUCUAGGUUAUGGGCUCUUGAAAUUGUUGAGAAGAACAGACCUUGAGUUCAUUCAUUUCAUAGGACAGACAAACUUGGUUCUAUUUCUAUGUGUGAAAUUCUUAAUCUUGAUUUGUAUAUUGGCUUUUGGUACUCUAUUGAUACAUUUACGGCCGUGUUGUUUCUACCGAUCUCGUUUUAUUUUUAGCAUGGUUGUUUCCUUUCUUUUAUGUGUUUUAUAAUGAAACUUGAGCUUUUAUUUGAGGUUUAUCUACUAAUUUCCCCCACUGAAGUGGAGAGGAGCCUGAGACAAGUGCUUUAGUAGUUAGUUCUUACCAAAUAUAUAUCUGCUUGGAAUUAUGGUUGGCCAUGAGACAAAACAUGGAGCGAAAUCUGGAAAAGAAAAGAGGCAAGCAAUUAUGGUUACAAUGGAAGGGAAGACACUUACAUGGUACCAACAGUGGGAAUUCAGUACUCAAAUUCCAACUUUGGAAGCCUUCAAAUCUGCUGCCAUUAGGUCAUCUCAAGUAAAUAGAAGCAGAGUCCUCAUAUCUACAAAACAUUUUUCUGAAUAGGCUCCAAGAAGUAAUUAGAGCAGAACUGAAACUUCAUUUGAAAGAGGAGCUGUAUAAUUUUUUUUGUAUUCAUCAUUCUUAAGCAAUUUAGUUUAAUCUUUUAGUACUCUUAACUUUUCUUCUUAAUGGCUUCAUGAUAAUUUUGGUGCACAAGCAAACAUCCUCUACAAUUACAAGAAGCCACAAUGGUGCUUAAUAUUAUACUGAGGCAACGUGCUACCAAACGGUGACAUAACUCCCAUUCUUUGCAUCAAAAGUACGACUUGGCCGUGACGGAGUCGAGGAAUUUCUUCCUCUAGCUAUCUUAGGUGCUGCUGUAAUAUCAAAUGAUCUAGAAAGAUGUGAGCGCAUUACUAAGAAAGUAGUUGGAAACUGGUGCUGAUAUAGUUACAUGUUAGGUUAAAGGCGGUGGUGUGCAUGGAUGCAAUCUUAUGUGGAAAUUAACAAGCAGGAGGGCUAACGAGUACUAUCUUUUAUUCAGAAAACUUGUAAAUUAAAUGAUGGAACACCAUUUCUAAUAUUGUAUGAGUUAUUGUUGGCUGUAGCGUACAAAUGUUUUUUGGUGGGAUAUAGACAUGUUUUGCCAAUGCAUAUACGCUCUAAUCAUUGAAGUUUUUCUCCAAGUGCUUUAACUAUCAUUGUAUAAUGAUUUGUUAAUUUAAACUUUU